rnacentral:lncRNA from 10 species
CUACCUUGGCCUCCCAAAGUGUUGGGAUUACAGGUGUGAGCCACUGCACCUGGCCGGUCUCUGUCUUUUAGAACCUUAUGGUGAUGGAACACAGAGCAGGCACUUGCUGGCUAUUAGCUGACUGCCCAAAUGAAUGCACUAUCAGACACUGCAGGAAAAAGGAUAAAGAGAACACUUUCAAGUUUCUCUUUCUUCAGUUCUUUGCUACUCAUCUACUCUGUCUUUUAAUGGGCCUCUUCCACUUCCUCCUUCUGUGCCUCACCAUGGGUCACUGUGGUCAGGGAGACUCAGCUCUUUGGCCUAGUAUGUAAAUCUAAAAGCUGUGCAAUGGUUCUAUUUAAAUUGGAACAAUUCAUGCAGCCAGUCUUUACUGAACAUGUACGUGCCUAGGAAGUCUCAGGAAUGGGUAAGUGCUCCUGCUCCCACACAGUCUACAGACCUGGGUGCAAUGGUGAGAAAGACCUCAGUAAAGCAAAGGAAUUACGAAAGGGAGAGGAUAGAAGAUAAAGUACAUAAUAGUUUCCUGAAGCAGCAGAAUGAAAGAACUCUCUGUGGCAUGAAAAUUUACUGGAGGCAGCAGCUGAGGCUGUGGUGGGAGAAGAAUGACAAGAACUGAGCGUGGGCCACGGGCUCUUACCUUCAGCAACUUCAUCAGCUCUUCCAGCUGGACCAUCAGCUCCCGCCUGCUCUCCUGCAGGGCCGACAUCCUCUGCUCCAGUUCAUCCUUCCUUUGCCUAUCCAAGACGAGAAGCCUAUCAGAUAAAGAGACCCUCAAAGAUGGAUCUAAGGCCAGGAAAACCAAGUUGAAUGAGUUGGAGACUCCAUAGAGAUGGGCUUCUAGAAUAAAAUGGCACUGACUUAGCUGAAGGACUGAAAAAGGAAGCUGAACUUGCAACAUGUGAGAACAUUUUGUGCAAAGGAGACAACCUGGAGCUCCAGAGGACCUACACUCAGUGAAUGGGCUUGGUCCUACAUCCAAAUAUACAUGAGGACAUGCAGAGAAAUGUUCAAGUAUAUAGAAGACCUCAAGGCAAAUAAACUGAUUCCUGGAUCCUGAGUGGUUCCUGGUUCACGUGGAAGGACAUCUCUGAAGCUUCAACUCAGUGAUUUACUUCCCCAAACCUAUUCCUUUCAUCCUUACAAUGAAACCACCUGUGUAACAACCCGAUUCUUUGAACGUUUUCUGGGAGUCCAGAGCAAGCCGAAACUUUCAGUGAACAUCCUAAGGCAAUCUGUAUUGAACCAGGUUCACUCCAAAAACCCAGUUGGGGCCAUUUCUCAAGGAGCUCAGAACAACCCGAGGAAUGGAUUCAUGGGCUGUCCUAAAGUAGCCUUACUCACAGGUAUCAGAGAAUUCACUUGCUUCUAGGCCCUUGGAUUGCUUUAAUUCUUUCAAUUUUCUUUUGUUCAACAACAUAAAAAAUAUAUUCUACUUAUUGCAAUUUUUACAUGUCACAUUCUGAAUAUUAUCCUGUACCAGUGGCUUCUUGGUUGUUAUAUAACUUGUUUGGUAAAGUUAUGCUGACAGCUUUAAUGAGGCGAUGUCAUGUGAUGCACGAAUUUCCCCUGGUGCUGAAUGUGGACAUUAGCAACUCAGUAUCGUGUGUUAGGGCAGUGGAGAAUCAGGGUGUAUCUAAUAAAUUCCUUCAUGGAGCUCUCAUGCCAUUAAGCAGAAUUUGCUCUUUCAAGAAGUUUCUUGAUCACCUCUGAAGUAAUAAACAAAACACUUAACAGGGUCUUAACAAAAACUUACAAACUGAAAAGUUCCAAAUCUGUAUCAAAUUCAAAGCCAGGGUUGUUUUCAAUCAGGGAAACCUGAAUCCUAAGGAAGAACCAGAAAUUUUUUUUUUCAAAGACACUCAGGCAUCAUAGGCAUUCCUAAGUUGUGAAAUGAAAAGAAGGUUUCCUAGAAAGUUAGGAUAGAGAUGGUAUUUAAUCUGCAUUCUGGCUAGGAAGAUGAUGACAUGCACCUUUUCAACUUUUCCCUAAACAGAUUUUUUUUUUCCUCUUAACUUAUUCCAGACCAAACAGGUUUCAAAAAACAAGAAAACUUCAGGGUUCAGAUUUUUGAACUUUUAAUAAGCCCAGAGAUUUGGCUCAUAUUUGGCAAGUUCGCCUAAAGUGUCAACAACAUCUAGUCUUUUCUAGUUCAACGUUGAGCUAAUUAGGGCCUAAUAAAGUGCAAAACAUGGCCUGAAAGAGUAAAGUACUGGUCCUUUGCCAAGAGGCAGAUUACAGAGAGGAAUCUGAUAGAUUAACAGAGAAACUAAAAUUAUUGCCUUGUGCACUCUAUCCAAAACUAAUGGUUUUCAACUAAGGGUCACAUCUAACAUGGCAGGUGACUCUGGCUUAUCCCUAGUCCAGAAACGUUUCUCUUGGUCAGUGGUUAUCAAACUUGGCCAUGCACUCCAG